AUUGAACGCUGGCGGCAUGCUUUACACAUGCAAGUCGAACGGCAGCGCGGGCUUCGGCCUGGCGGCGCGUGGCGAACGGGUGAGUAAUGCAUCGGAACGUGCCCAGUAGUGGGGGAUAGCCCGGCGAAAGCCGGAUUAAUACCGCAUACGACCUGAGGGUGAAAGAGGGGGACCGAAAGGCCUCGCGCUCUUGGAGCGGCCGAUGUCGGAUUAGCUAGUUGGUGGGGUAAAGGCUUACCAAGGCGACGAUCCGUAGCUGGUCUGAGAGGACGACCAGCCACACUGGGACUGAGACACGGCCCAGACCCCUACGGGAGGCAGCAGUGGGGAAUUUUGGACAAUGGGGGCAACCCUGAUCCAGCCAUGCCGCGUGCGGGAAGAAGGCCUUCGGGUUGUAAAGCGCUUUUGUUCGGGAAGAAAUCCUUUGGGCUAAUACCGCGGGGGGAUGACGGUACCGGAAGAAUAAGCACCGGCUAACUACGUG
rnacentral:rRNA from 1 species